rnacentral:misc_RNA from 1 species
GUAUUUUAUCAUUUAAAGGCUGACAAGAGCCUAUUAAUUUCAUUCUAUAGACAUUCGACCGUGUAUGUCAAAAAAUACAUAAACACCCAGACUUUUUCAAUAUCAAGAGAGGUUCAACAAUAAAUGCCAACCCUCUCUCACAUCCCAAGUGUUUACAAAGAGUGCACAGGUGGAAAAGAGAAUGAAGUAAGCAGCAAAAGACGUGCACAUGCUCAUUUGAGCCAGCGACAGCCUUGCCACCCAUUUCGUUCAGUAAUGAUCCUUCCGCAGGUUCACCUACGGAAA